rnacentral:lncRNA from 1 species
UACGGCACUGCUUGGCAUAGAACAAAUCAUCUCUUUAUUACAAAUGAUACGGAUACAAUGGCACGGCGACACUACGCCUCCUCGGGUAGUUCUAUGGUAGUAGCAGAACAACUCGAAGCAGCGGAAUAACUUCUAGCAACGGAACAAUAACGAUAGUGAUGAACUCCACUCCAUAGGGACCCUGGAUGGAACGCUUAUCCUAGCUCGCAAACUUGAGAUCCUACGCUAUCCAUUGACUGCAAACAGGCAUGACACGCCAGGUGAGUACUUUGAAUGUCCUCACAAGAUCCCGGCAACCCGAGCAAUCAAG